UACUACUUGUAGUACCAAAGGGCAAUUUGUAAAGCUUUGCAAGAUAGAGUUCCUAAAGAAAAAGCAUCAACACUAACCAUUGUAUUGAUGGUUGUAAGAGCAGGGCGAGGACCUCUUGUCAGGGCAUCAUUGCAGGCUGCUGAAGAAACUAGCCGCAAGCUUAAAAUUUACGCUGUGGAGAAAAAUCCAAAUGCAAUUGUUACACUACAU